rnacentral:rRNA from 1 species
GUCGAGCGAACAGACGAGGAGCUUGCUCCUCUGACGUUAGCGGCGGACGGGUGAGUAACACGUGGAUAACCUACCUAUAAGACUGGGAUAACUUCGGGAAACCGGAGCUAAUACCGGAUAAUAUAUUGAACCGCGUGGUUCAAUAGUGAAAGACGGUUUUGCUGUCACUUAUAGAUGGAUCCGCGCCGCAUUAGCUAGUUGGUAAGGUAACGGCUUACCAAGGCGACGAUGCGUAGCCGACCUGAGAGGGUGAUCGGCCACACUGGAACUGAGACACGGUCCAGACUCCUACGGGAGGCAGCAGUAGGGAAUCUUCCGCAAUGGGCGAAAGCCUGACGGAGCAACGCCGCGUGAGUGAUGAAGGUCUUCGGAUCGUAAAACUCUGUUAUUAGGGAAGAACAAAUGUGUAAGUAACUAUGCACGUCUUGACGGUACCUAAUCAGAAAGCCACGGCUAACUACGUGCCAGCAGCCGCGGUAAUACGUAGGUGGCAAGCGUUAUCCGGAAUUAUUGGGCGUAAAGCGCGCGUAGGCGGUUUUUUAAGUCUGAUGUGAAAGCCCACGGCUCAACCGUGGAGGGUCAUUGGAAACUGGAGAACUUG